AAUAGACCUUUUUCAAUCCACAAAUUUAAUGAGCUUUACAUUGUACAGUAAUUACUGGCAUGAGCCAAGUGUAUUCCAAUAUUUCUAUAAGCAAUUUGUAUAUUGUAGAUUGCAAUCUGCUUUUGGUAAAAAUUAAGGAAGCAAUGAGCUAUUAACUCUCAAAGAAAACAAGCAAUAUAUUAUCGAGAUCAAGAAUAUAACGAAUUCAGC